AAUACAUUUACGCUUCCAUUACGUUACUUUGAUUCUUCCUCAUUCUUUGAGGAAUUUAUCCUUUAGUAUUUCUCAAAUACUUAAGGACUAACUUGACAGUUGCCAUGGUUUUGAUCCUGGGCUUGCACUGAUAUCGUUUUGUACCGUUCUAGGUACAACUCAUAUCAAUGUUUUUCAUACAAUAUGAAAUACAUAAAUCACCUUUCUGCGUAUGCAUAAAGGAUUCUAUUUACGCAUAUUUCUUUGGGAGUCAAAGGGGCACGUUCCCUUUGAGAAGGGCAACUUACUAGUCUCACUAGAAUCGUCCUUCUAUUGAAGUUUAUCAUCAUAUGAGAAACUUCCUAGCAUCCAUUGUCUAUUAUUAGGCAUUGAUAUAAUCCAAUUAUAUCAUGAAAUAUAUCAUUAUAGAUUUCCAUCCCAUGUAUAUAGACUAUAUCUCCCAUAUACAUUCUAUCGUCAUAUAAUGUAUUAAAGUCAUAACUUUAACGAAGAAGUAUUCUUUUCAUUUCCAAAAUUAAUAUAUCAUAUAUACUUAAAUUUUAGGAACAUGAUUAACUCCCACUAAUCUUUUGUAAAACUAGUAAACAAAAGAUUCAUUUACAUCUUUAUGAGAAAUCAAACGAUUUGAUCCUUUUUCUCAUAAAAUGCAAAUAGCUCCCACUAACUUGCUAAGAUCCAUGAUGGAUGGAUCUCUACAACUUACAUGUCUUGUGAUUAGUAGUUUUACACAUAUAUUAUCAAGACUAUCUUAAUAAUGGUUUCGGAAACCCAUAUUAUGUCAAAACAUUGAAUCACCAUUUA
rnacentral:lncRNA from 1 species